rfam:Rhizobium yanglingense strain CCBAT 01603 genomic scaffold C593, whole genome shotgun sequence.
CUAUCGGCGUCGAAAGCUGUCGGGAUGGGGCGGCAGAAGUCAGCAGACGCCGUAGUAGCCGGACCAACCGGUGAAGGGC